GCAUUGCAGGUGGAUUCUUUACCAGCUGAGCUACUAGGGAAGCCAGGUCCAUGAAAUUUUAUUUGGGGGAAAUAGUAUAAUAAGUCACCCCAAACCUUAGUGACCUUAAACAACAACCAUCUGCUUAACUAAUGACUGAAGAUUGCCAAUUUGGCCUGGGCUCAGCUGGGCAGUUCUUCUGCUAGCUGCAAAUGCUUCACUUCCACACCUGCAGUCAACUGCAAGUCAGCUAGGUGACUUUGCUUCUGGGAGUUAGCUGGCUGUUGGUUGCUGUGAUGAAGGCAAUGAGCUACAUGGCUCUCAUUACCCAUCAGGCUAGCCCAGAUUUGAUUACAUGGUGGCAGUCAUGGAGUUACAAAAGAAGCAAGAGAGGAACUUGGACAGACAGUUGAUGUGAAAUUCAUUUUGUGGCCAGCUUUCCAGUAGACUAUGAGCUCCUCAAGGCACAGUCCCUUCCAGGGUCCUGAGAAGAGCUCCAGCAAUUUCUUAUUAUUCAUUUUAUAUUUUUAAAAGAGUAUCCUCUACAUGGAAUGACCUCAAGCCCCACAAAACCUGGACCAGCCUCUGGCCCCAAGAUCCGGAGUUUUAAUAAGCUGGUCAGGUGAUUCCCAUAUGCCAAGAGGAUCAGGGAUCACUUGUUACUCAAAGUGCAAUUCACAGACCAGAAUUAUUAGCAUCAUGGAUGAGCAUGUUCAAAAUGCAAGGUCUCAGCCCUCCUGUCAGACCCACUGGAUCUGAGUCUCUAUUUUCACUGGAACUGUGGGCUGACUCACAUGAAAAAUAUCACAUUCAAAAUAAAGUUUGUGAAGUGCUGUGUUAGUAG
ensembl:lncRNA